UACAGAGGGGGCGAGCGUUGUUCGGAAUUACUGGGCGUAAAGGGCGCGUAGGCGGCCCGCUAAGUCGAACGUGAAAUCCCCAGGCUCAACCUGGGAACUGCGUCCGAUACUGGCAGGCUUGAAUCCGGGAGAGGGAUGUGGAAUUCCAGGUGUAGCGGUGAAAUGCGUAGAUAUCAAGAGGAACACCUGAGGUGAAGACGGGUUGCUGGGCUGACACUGACGCUGAUGCGCGAAAGCCAGGGGAGCAAACGGG
rnacentral:rRNA from 1 species